rnacentral:rRNA from 1 species
AUUGAACGCUGGCGGCAGGCUUAACACAUGCAAGUCGAGCGAGCGGCGGACGGGUGCGUAAUGUCUGGGAACCUGCCUGAUGACUGGGGAUAACUACUGGAAACGGUAGCUAAUACCGCAUACCAUCAGAUGUGCCCAGAUGGGAUUAGCUAGUAGGUUGGGUAAUGGCUCACCUAGGCGACGAUCCCUAGCUGGUCUGAGAGGGUGACCAGCCACACUGGAACUGAGACACGGUCCAGACUCCUACGGGAGGCAGCAGUGGGGAAUAUUGCACAAUGGGCGAAAGCCUGACGCAGCAAUGCCGCGUGUGUGAAGAAGGCCUUCGGGUUGUAAAGCACUUUCAGCGAGGAGGCGUUACUCGCAGAAGAAGCACCGGCUAACUCCGUGCCAGCAGCCGCGGUAAUAC